CAUACAGUGUGGAACUGAAUCCAUAACGCUCUCACAAAGUAAUUUCUGUUUGUAUUGGAGCCAGGAGGGAGGAGCUAGAGAGAGAAGAUCAUGAUGACGUCACAAUGCCUACCCAUGGGAAACUUGUCUUCACAGGACUGACAUUCAAAUUGUGUUACUUUAGCAGACCUCACAGUUGCAAACCUCCAAAAUGAUUUUCUUUCUAGGCAUAUUACUUAUGGACCUCUCAGGUAACGCCCAUGGGAACAAAAUCACUCCAAACAGUGUUGAACUCAACAUGAUUCAGGGACAUAAUUUAACCCUCUCCUGCAGCAUUAGUUACAGCUCUGGAGACGAUCUACAGUGGUAUCGACAGUACCCAAGAUCAGCACCUCAGUUUCUCUUGUUCAUCCUUAGUGAUAAGACAGAAACAUCAAAUGUGGAUCCUCGAUUCUCUGGGAGAAUGAAUAAGGAGAAAAGUCAAAUGUUCCUGGAACUCACUGCAGCUGAACUCACAGACUCUGCUCUCUACUACUGUGCCCUGAGGCCCACAGUGAAGGAAAUGUGCUAACUGUUGUACAAGAACUUUCAUGACAUGACAAGACAUGGAAUAAAAUGCACCAUAUCUUACAUUCCAAUAAAGAGGUCU